rnacentral:misc_RNA from 1 species
UAUUAUCAAAAUCACUAGAAUGUUAAAUUUGAAGUGGUUUUGGAAAGUGGGACUUUGCAGGUCUGCGGUGUGGGCCAGCUGUCCUUAAAUGCAUUAGCAGACUCAGACGGUGCUUUACUGGUGUGAUAAGAGAAAUAUUGUCGCCAGAAAAAGGAAGCAGUGUUUUGCAGUCUACUGUUUUAUUAUUAUUAUUAAAGAGUCCUUUUAGGACUAAUUAUGAAUUA